rnacentral:rRNA from 1 species
AGAGUUUGAUCCUGGCUCAGAAUAAACGUUGGGCGGUGCGCCUUUAUGCAUGCAAGUCGAACGGGGUUAUGGUUUUCGGAUUGUAACCUAGUGGCAGACGGCUGAGUAAUACGUAAGUAACCCGCCUUGGAGUGGGAAAUAACCUGCCGAAAGGCGAGCUAAUGUCCCAUGUGGUAACGAAGCGUAAGCUUCGUUACUAAAGCUUUCGGGCGCUCCAAGAGUGGCUUGCGUCUGAUUAGCUAGUUGGUAGGGUAAUGGCCUACCAAGGCGAUGAUCCAGUAGCUGGUCUGAGAGGAUGGCCAGCCAGAUGGGGACUGAGACACGGCCCCAACUCCUACGGGAGGCAGCAGCAAGGAAUUUUGGGCAAUGAGCGAAAGCUUGACCCAGCGACACCGCGUGAGGGAGUAAGGCCUUCGGGUUGUAAACCUCUUUUCCUGGGGAAGAAUUCUGACGGUACCCAGGGAAUAAGCCUCGGCCAACUACGUGCCAGCAGCCGCGGUAAUACGUAGGAGGCGAACGUUAUUCGGAUUUACUGGGCGUAAAGGGAGCGUAGGCGGUUCCUUAAGUCAGAUGUGAAAUCUUCUGACUCAAUCAGAAAACGGCAUUUGAUACUGAGGGACUUGAGAGCAGCAGAGGGAAAUGGAAUCUCCAGUGUAGCGGCGAAAUGCGUAGAUAUUGGAGAGAACCACCAGUGGCGAAGGCGAUUUCCCAGGCUGUUUCUGACGCUGAGGUUCGAAAGCGUGGGGAGCGAAGCGGAUUAGAUACCCGCGUAGUCCACGCCCUAAACGGUGGACACUAGAUAUAGGAGGUAUCGACCCUUUCUGUGUCGAAGCUAACGCUUUAAGUGUCCCGCCUGGGUAGUACGGCCGCAAGGCUGAAACUCAAAGGAAUUGACG